UUUUAAUUACAUCUGCGAAGAACCUAUUUCCAAAUUAGGUCGUCUUCACAGGUUUUGGGGGUUAGGACAGGGACAUAUCCUUUUAGAGGCACUGUUCAACCCACUCCAUGGGAGAUGCAGGUAAAUAUGCUGAAAGGACUCAGGAAGCUGUCUGAAAAUAACAACCAGGAUAUGAAUAGUAGUUAUAUCAGCCUACAGCCCAGUGCCAGGCACAUUGUGGGUGCUCAAAAGAAUGUCUACAUUUAUUUCCAUAUAUAAAAUGUUCUGGCUCAGAGAAAACAUUUGGGCGCUCCGGUUUUGCCCAGUUUAGAAGUUUUAGCAAACGCCAGUGGGUUUGACUGCAGCUGGGACCCCUUCUCUCGGGACUUUGUUGAAACCACCUUUAGUCUCAUUCUCCGCUUGGGAAACAACCACUAUUCCAGCUUCAGGUCUGUGCAAGUCCCUCCUGUGACACUUUGCCUGCAAAUGGGCCUUUGUUUGCCCAACCUCGGGCCUCCGCGUCUCCCUGCCUAGACACCAUGCCCCGGCCCUCACCCUCCCGGCUGUUGAGAUGUGUUUUGUGAAAGCGCUGGCUCUGUCCACCCCCAGCUCCAAGAGGACUUGGCCAAGUCUGGCCUGUUCACUGCCCCGUCCUCUUGCCUAGAAAAGAGCCAGACACUGGCCCCUACCCACCUUCUUACGCAUUAUGUAUGGCCCCCUUUCAGUUCCCAGAAUUCCAAUCCUGUUCUCACCUCAGGGCCUUUGCCGGGCUGUUCCCUCUGCCUGGAAUGCCCUUCUUAUCAUCAGAUCUCAGCAAAAUGUCACAGGUCUGCCCUGCCCUCCCAGGCCCGGGGAGCCUUUCCCAGCCUGCUUGCAUUCUCUGUCCUCCACACAGCUGGACGGUCCUGCCUCCUUAUUUGUUUGCUGCCCUGUGCCAGAUCCCAGUCCCCUUGAGAGCAAGGACGUGGACCAGCUCAUGGCUGCAGCCCCAGCGCCUGGCAAAUCACAGGUGCUCAGAGAAGAAGGGGAAGAAACGGAGGGACAGAGAGGAUGAGGAAACUGAAUCCCAUUAAGGAACUUGCUCAGGAUCCGCUGCUGGGAGGUGGUG